CCUACGGGCGGCAGCAGUGAGGAAUAUUGGUCAAUGGACGAGAGUCUGAACCAGCCAAGUAGCGUGAAGGAUGACUGCCCUAUGGGUUGUAAACUUCUUUUAUAUGGGAAUAAAAUGUUCCACGUGUGGGAUUUUGUAUGUACCAUAUGAAUAAGGAUCGGCUAACUCCGUGCCAGCAGCCGCGGUAAUACGGAGGAUCCGAGCGUUAUCCGGAUUUAUUGGGUUUAAAGGGAGCGUAGGUGGGUUGUUAAGUCAGUUGUGAAAGUUUGCGGCUCAACCGUAAAAUUGCAGUUGAAACUGGCAGUCUUGAGUACAGUAGAGGUGUGCGGAAUUCGUGGUGUAGCGGUGAAAUGCUUAGAUAUCACGAAGAACUCCGAUUGCGAAGGCAGCUUACUGGACUGGAACUGACACUGAGGCUCGAAAGUGUGGGUAUCAAACAGGAUUAGAUACCCGUGUAGUC
rnacentral:rRNA from 1 species